AAGUGAAAGAAGGGCAUUCGGUGGAUGCCUUGGCGCUGAGAGGCGAUGAAGGACGUGGUACGCUGCGAUAAGUUACGGGGAGCCGCGAACAGGCUUUGAUCCGUAAAUUUCCGAAUGGGGGAACCCACUCCGCAAGGAGUAUCGUGCACUGAAUACAUAGGUGUACGAGGCAAACCCGGGGAACUGAAACAUCUAAGUACCCGGAGGAAAGGACAUCAACAGAGACUCCGCUAGUAGUGGCGAGCGAACGCGGACCAGGCCAGUGGCUUUUGUGAGAUAAGUGGAACCUUCUGGAAAGUUGGGCCAUAGUGGGUGAUAGCCCCGUACACGUAAUGCGAACAAAAGUCCUAGAGUAAGGCGGGACACGUGAAAUCCUGUCUGAACAUGGGGAGACCACUCUCCAAGCCUAAGUACUCGUGCAUGACCGAUAGCGAACUAGUACCGUGAGGGAAAGGUGAAAAGCACCCCGACAAGGGGAGUGAAAGAGUACCUGAAACCGAUUGCCUACAAACAGUGGGAGCCCGCAAGGGUGACCACGUACCUUUUGUAUAAUGGGUCAGCGACUUAGUGUGACGAGCAAGCUUAAACCGAUAGGUGUAGGCGCAGCGAAAGCGAGUCUGAACAGGGCGUUCAGUUCGUCGCAUUAGACCCGAAACCGAGUGAUCUAGCCAUGAGCAGGUUGAAGGUAAGGUAACACUUACUGGAGGACCGAACCCAUAACUGUUGCAAUAGUUCGGGAUGACUUGUGGCUAGGGGUGAAAGGCCAAUCAAACUCGGAAAUAGCUGGUUCUCCGCGAAAGCUAUUUAGGUAGCGCCUCG
rnacentral:rRNA from 1 species